rnacentral:rRNA from 1 species
UACGGGGGGGGCAAGCGUUGUUCGGAAUUACUGGGCGUAAAGCGCGUGUAGGUGGCGACGUAAGUCGGGUGUGAAAUCCCUUGGCUCAACCAAGGAAGUGCAUUCGAUACUGUGUUGCUUGAGUACCGGAGGGGAUGGCGGAAUUCCCGGUGUAGAGGUGAAAUUCGUAGAUAUCGGGAGGAACACCUGUGGCGAAGGCGGCCAUCUGGACGGUCACUGACACUGAGACGCGAAAGCGUGGGUAGCAAACAGG